GUUAAAAUAAGCAAUAAUCCCUAUGAGGGAUUGAAAC
rfam:Cyanothece sp. PCC 8801, complete genome.